GUUAUAUAGUUUAUACCACAAUAAAUUAUGAUAUGAAAAAUAAGGUAGGAUAUGAGGACAACGAUUAAAGAAUAAAUUUACUUAUGGAAAUUUAGAUGUUUGUUGAUUGGUUUUAAAUAUUAUAAUACUUGCGACGAAAAAGUAAAAAUACUAUUGCAUCAAGUAUCUAUUGCACUUAAUGUGUACAUUAUUGUAAAAUUCUCAUGAAUGGAUACAAGCUCUUGUCAAAUUAUCCAUAAUACAUUAUUCAUCGAAAUGCUUGAAGAAAGUAGUUUUUCUUAAUAUGGUAAAAACCUUAGCAUUAAGCGAGCUAAGGCGAUUUACUUUAUUAAUUGAAUCAAAAAAAGGCGUGUAAAUCACAAAAUAACAAAUAAUAUUUUUCACAUUUAUUUUUAAUGUAUUUAUUAAUAGCUAUUAUUUAAAUAUAAAUU